UGCUUACAGUUUAUAAGCCAC
rnacentral:piRNA from 1 species